GAUGAAGAACGCAGCGAAAUGCGAUAAGUAGUGUGAAUUGCAGAAUUCAGUGAAUCAUCGAAUCUUUGAACGCACAUUGCGCCCCUUGGUAUUCCAUGGGGCAUGCCUGUUCGAGCGUCAUUUGUACCUUCAAGCUCUGCUUGGUGUUGGGUGUUUGUCUCGCCUCUGCGUGUAGACUCGCCUCAAAACAAUUGGCAGCCGGCGUAUUGAUUUCGGAGCGCAGUACAUCUCGCGCUUUGCACUCAUAACGACGACGUCCAAAAGUACAUUUUUACACUCUUGACCUCGGAUCAGGUAGGGAUACCCGCUGAACAUAAGCAUAUCAAUAAGCGGAGGA
rnacentral:misc_RNA from 1 species